AUUGAACGCUGGCGGCAGGCCUAACACAUGCAAGUCGAGCGAGCGGCGGUCGUGUGAGUAAUGCCUGGGAAUUGCCCAGUCGAGGGGGAUACCAGUUGGAAACGACUGCUAACACCGCAUACCAUUGUAUUGCCCAGUUGGGAUUAGCUAGUGGGUGAGGUAAUGGCUCACCAGGGCGACGAUCCCUAGCUGGUCUGAGAGGAUAAUCAGCCACACUGGAACUGAGACGCGGGCCAGACUCCUACGGGAGGCAGCAGUGGGGAAUAUUGCACAAUGGGGGAAACCCUGAUGCAGCCAUGCCGCGUGUGUAAAGAAGGCCUUCGGGUUGUAAAGCACUUUCAGCGAGGAGGCGUUACUAGAAGAAGAAGAAACGGCUAACUCCGUGCCAGCAGCCGCGGUAAUUG
rnacentral:rRNA from 1 species